rnacentral:rRNA from 1 species
AUUGAACGCUGGCGGCAUGCCUUACACAUGCAAGUCGAACGGCAGCACGGGUGCUUGCACCUGGUGGUGAGUGGCGAACGGGUGAGUAAUACAUCGGAACGUACCUUAUCGUGGGGGAUAACGCAGCGAAAGCUGUGCUAAUACCGCAUACGCCCUGAGGGGGAAAGCGAGGGAUCGCAAGACCUCGCGCGAUUAGAGCGGCCGAUGCCUGAUUAGCUUGUUGGUGGGGUAAAAGCCCACCAAGGCGACGAUCAGUAGCUGGUCUGAGAGGACGAUCGGCAAAGCUGGGACUGAGACACGGCCCAGACUCCUACGGGAGGCAGCAGUGGGGAAUUUUGGACAAUGGGGGAAACCCUGAUCCAGCAAUGCCGCGUGAGUGAAGAAGGCCUUCGGGUUGUAAAGCUCUUUUGUCAGGGAAGAAACACCGGCUCUAACACAGUCCGGGAAUGACGGUACCUGAAGAAUAAGCACCGGCUAACUACGUGCCAGCCGCCGCCGUAA